CCUACGGGUGGCAGCAGUCGAGAAUCAUUCACAAUGGGGGAAACCCUGAUGGUGCGACGCCGCGUGGGGGAAUGAAGGUCUUCGGAUUGUAAACCCCUGUCAUGUGGGAGCAAAUUAAAAAGAUAGUACCACAAGAGGAAGAGACGGCUAACUCUGUGCCAGCAGCCGCGGUAAUACAGAGGUCUCAAGCGUUGUUCGGAAUCACUGGGCGUAAAGCGUGCGUAGGCUGUUUCGUAAGUCGUGUGUGAAAGGCGAGGGCUCAACCCGCGGACGGCACAUGAUACUGGGAGACUAGAGUAAUGGAGGGGGAACCGGAAGUCUCGGUGUAGCAGUGAAAUGCGUAGAUAUCGAAAGGAACACUCGUGGCGAAGGCGGGUUCCUGGACAUUAACUGACGCUGAGGCACGAAGGCCAGGGGAGCGAAAGGGAUUAGAUACCCGUGUAGUC
rnacentral:rRNA from 1 species